CCCCCCUUCCUACCAAGGAAAAAAAAAAAGGCGCUAUUUAUGCUUUGUGACAGGAAUGAAACUAUCGCCUCCUUUUUUCAUCCAUAUUGUAGAACGAGUUCUCUUCACGUGAUCUACAAAGAGCUGAUGCCUUUCAUAUUCCAGCUUCUGAGUAACAAUCCCAUUUAGUAGCAGCUCUGAACUGUAAAUAGCUGCCCCUUUUUCGAGGAAAGGUACACAAACUUCAUAAUCCUCUUCACAGGAUAAAACCAACAGAUCUUCUAGGACAACAUCAUCCUUAAGAGUAGAUCUGCCAACUCUCUCCACCGCCUGACCACAAACUGCUUUAACCAAGCCUGAAACAAUUUCUUUACUUGGCUUUAUGCUGGUAGUGAUCAAAACUCUUCGACCCUGCAGAAGUGGAU
rnacentral:misc_RNA from 1 species